AACACUUGAGGAUCAAAUCAUCAGUGCCAACCGCUGCUGGAGGCCUUUGGAAAUGCCAAGACUGUGAGGAAUGACAACUCCUCACGCUUUGGUAAAUUCAUCAGAAUCCACUUUGGGGCCACAGGAAAACUGGCUUCUGCUGACAUUGAAACUUAUCUGCUGGAAAAGUCCAGAGUUACUUUUCAGCUCAAGGCAGAAAGAAGCUACCACAUUUUUUAUCAGGUCACCUCCAACAAGAAGCCAGAGCUAAUUGAAAUGCUCCUUAUCACCACCAACCCGUAUGACUACCCUUUUGUGAGUCAAGGUGAGAUCACUGUCCCCAGCAUUGAUGACAAGGAGGAGCUGAUGGCUACGGAU